CCACAACGACCAAAACCUGAAAUCCCAAAACGCAAAACGCAAACCCAAAUCAGAAACCCUAAAACCUCUAGCGACAGAUCCAAAACGCACUGCAAAAUCUUUGAAGCAGUAGCACUCAGCUUGAAUCUGGCUCCAAUGGAGGUCGGCAAGGUUUCAUGAUCUAGAAGUGGAGGACCACCUGAAGUUUGUCACCAAGUGGAUGCUUUCUCACAUUGAAGAUGUUGAGAAAGAACUUAAUAAAUCAGUCAUGUUCGCCGAAUUUGGCUUGGCAGACCAGCUUGAUAGAUUUUACAAAACUAUUUUUGAUGUCAUUUACAAACCUGCAAAGAAACACCAGGCUGGGGCAGGUGCUUUAGCGUGGCAGUUUUUGGUAGCAGGAAUGGACAAGUAUAAUGAUGAAUUUGGGAUUGUUCCAUGGGAAAGGCCAUCUACCUAUAUGUUUAGUGGGUGGGACACUAAUAGGACUGAUAAUAGUUCUCUUAUAGAUGGCAGCACUAGCUCUCUUGUAAUGAUUACUACUACAUAUGUGUUGAUAAUUUAUACAAUUCGUUUCAUUCCUUUACUAUA